UACGUAGGGAGCGAGCGUUGUCCGGAAUUACUGGGUGUAAAGGGAGUGCAGGCGGGCUUGCAAGUCAGAUGUGAAAUGCAGGGGCUCAACCCCUGAGCUGCAUUUGAAACUGUAGGUCUUGAGUGAAGUAGAGGUAAGCGGAAUUCCAAGUGUAGCGGUGAAAUGCGUAGAUAUUUGGAGGAACAUCAGUGGCGAAGGCGGCUUACUGGGCUUUAACUGACGCUGAGGCUCGAAAGCGUGGGGAG
rnacentral:rRNA from 1 species